rnacentral:rRNA from 1 species
GUGCCAGCAGCCGCGGUAAUACAGAGGGGGCGAGCGUUAUUCGGAAUUAUUGGGCGUAAAGGGCGCGUAGGCGGCUAAGUAAGUCUCGGGUGAAAUCCCUCGGCUCAACCGAGGAACUGCCUUGGAAACUGCUUGGCUUGAGGCCGGGAGAGGAUGGUGGAAUUCCCAGUGUAGCGGUGAAAUGCGUAGAUAUUGGGAGGAACACCGGUGGCGAAGGCGGCCAUCUGGACCGGUCCUGACGCUGAGGCGCGAAAGCGUGGGGAGCAAACAGGAUUAGAUACCCCCGUAGUCC